CCAGAUGGGAUUAGCUUGUUGGUGAGGUAACGGCUCACCAAGGCGACGAUCCCUAGCUGGUCUGAGAGGAUGACCAGCCACACUGGAACUGAGACACGGUCCAGACUCCUACGGGAGGCAGCAGUGGGGACUAUUGCACAAUGGGCGCAAGCCUGAUGCAGCCAUGCCGCGUGUAUGAAGAAGGCCUUCGGGUUGUAAAGUACUUUCAGCGGGGAGGAAGGUGUUGUGGUUAAUAACCACAGCAAUUGACGUUACCCGCAG
rnacentral:rRNA from 1 species